rnacentral:rRNA from 1 species
UACGGGGGGAGCAAGCGUUGUUCGGAUUUACUGGGCGUAAAGGGCGCGUAGGCGGCCACUGCAAGUCGGUUGUGAAAUCUCCGGGCUUAACCCGGAAAGGUCAAUCGAUACUGCAGGGCUAGAGUGCAGAAGGGGCAACUGGAAUUCUCGGUGUAGCGGUGAAAUGCGUAGAUAUCGAGAGGAACACCUGCGGCGAAGGCGGGUUGCUGGGCCGACACUGACGCUGAUGCGCGAAAGCCAGGGGAGCGAACGGG